rnacentral:misc_RNA from 1 species
AAAGUCGUAACAAGGUUUCCGUAGGUGAACCUGCGGAAGGAUCAUUACAAAUCCACGUCUCUCUUUUGAGACCUGUUGAAAUGUGUUUGUGGUGGAGGGUGGUGGUCGGAAGACUAUAUUACUAUAGUCUACCUCUCAUCAUCAUCAUCCCCACAUAUUAUUGACUCGUGUUGAUCAGUUUAUUCAUUUGUAAUAUGAACACAACUUAUAACAAUGGAUCUCUAGGCUCUU